rnacentral:lncRNA from 1 species
GCUCUGCCUACAGGGGCUUUGUGACACAUCUCUGCACUGAUCACCCUGGGGAGGGAACUCUUUUCUACGUUCUGCCUACAGGUUGUGAUAUACAUUUCCACUGAUCAAACAGGUGAUGUAACCCUUGUCAAGGUUCUGCUUACAGGGGCUUUGUGACAUAUCUCUGCACUGAUCACCCCAAGGAGGAAACACUUGUCUACACUCUGCCUAGAGGAGGCUUUACGACUUAACCCUGCACUGGUCACUAGGUGAUGUAACACUUGUCUAGGCUGUGUCUACACGGGAAUUUUCAAAUAUCUCUACACUGAGCACCUAAGUGAUGUAACCCUUGUCUAUGUUUAGCCUACUGGGGAUUUCUGACAUACCUAUGCACUGAUCACCUAGGUGAUGUAAAUCAUUUCCAGGCUUUUUGUACAGGGGACAUUGUGAUAUAUCUCUGCGCUGAUCACCCAAAUGAUGCAAAUCUUCUCUAGGCUCCGGAGGGAGGGGGCAUUGGGACAUAUUUCUGAACCGAUCAUCCAGGAGAUGUAACCAUUCUCCAGACUUUGACUAAAGAGCGUCGGAAUGUGUUGGGAGAACCUCAGCCAGAAUUUCACAGAUGGACAAGGGCACAGAGAGGCCAGCGGGCUCCCUUGCACGUCAGCCGGAGUGCGCAAUGAGCGCAGGUCUAGCCAGGAGGCCGGCAAGGAGAGCUAGAGGUCUG